rnacentral:rRNA from 1 species
AGUGAACGCUGGCGGUAGGCCUAACACAUGCAAGUCGAACGGCAGCACAGUAAGAGCUUGCUCUUACGGGUGGCGAGUGGCGGACGGGUGAUGAAUACAUCGGAAUCUACUUUUUCGUGGGGGAUAACGUAGGGAAACUUACGCUAAUCCCGCAUACGACCUACGGGUGAAAGCAGGGGAUCUUCGGACCUUGCGCGAUUGAAUGAGCCGAUGUCGGAUUAGCUAGUUGGCGGGGUAAAGGCCCACCAAGGCGACGAUCCGUAGCUGGUCUGAGAGGAUGAUCAGCCACACUGGAACUGAGACACGGUCCAGACUCCUACGGGAGGCAGCAGUGGGGAAUAUUGGACAAUGGGCGCAAGCCUGAUCCAGCCAUACCGCGUGGGUGAAGAAGGCCUUCGGGUUGUAAAGCCCUUUUGUUGGGAAAGAAAAGCAGCAGGUUAAUACCCCGCUGUUCUGACGGUACCCAAAGAAUAAGCACCGGCUAACUUCGUG